rnacentral:rRNA from 1 species
AGAGUUUGAUCCUGGCUCAGGACUAACGCUGGCGGCGUGCCUAACACAUGCAAGUCGAACGAAGUAGCAAUACUUAGUGGCAGACGGGUGAGUAACACGUAGUCAACCUACCUCAGCGUGGGGGAUAACUAGCCGAAAGGUUAGCUAAUACCGCAUACGAUCGCUAAGUGGCAUCACAUGGCGAUGAAAGGAGCAAUCCG